rnacentral:rRNA from 1 species
GACGAACGCUGGCGGCGUGCUUAACACAUGCAAGUCGAGCGGUAAGGCCCUUCGGGGUACACGAGCGGCGAACGGGUGAGUAACACGUGAGUAAUCUACCCUUCACUUCGGGAUAAGCUUCGGAAACGGGGUCUAAUACCGGAUAUGACACCUUGAUGCAUGGUGGGGUGUGGAAAGUUUUUUCGGGGGGGGAUGUGCUCGCGGCCUAUCAGCUUGUUGGUGGGGUAAUGGCCUACCAAGGCUUUGACGGGUAGCCGGCCUGAGAGGGUGACCGGCCACACUGGGACUGAGACACGGCCCAGACUCCUACGGGAGGCAGCAGUGGGGAAUAUUGGACAAUGGGCGGAAGCCUGAUCCAGCAACGCCGCGUGAGGGAUGACGGCCUUCGGGUUGUAAACCUCUUUCGUCAUCGACGAAGCCCAGUGUUGAUCUGGGUGACGGUAGGUGAGGAAGAAGCACCGGCCAACUACGUGCCAGCCGCCGCGGUAAUAC